rnacentral:rRNA from 1 species
UACGAAGGGGGCGAGCGUUGUUCGGAAUUACUGGGCGUAAAGGGCGCGCAGGCGGUCUUCCAAGUCGGGCGUGAAAGCCCCGGGCUCAACCUGGGGAUAGCGUUCGAGACUGGGGGACUGGAGGACGGGAGAGGAGAGUGGAAUUCCCAGUGUAGAGGUGAAAUUCGUAGAUAUCUGGAGGAACAUCAGUGGCGAAGGCGACACCCUGGACUCAUACUGACACUGAGGUGCGAAAGCGUGGGGAGCAAACAGG